rnacentral:lncRNA from 12 species
ACCGUGCCAUAUCCACUCUGUGCCGAAUCCUGGCCUUGCCGUAUCCCAUCCGUGCUGCAUCCUGACCGUGCCAUAUCCACUCUGUGCCGAAUCCUGGCCUUGCCGUAUCCCAUCCGUGCUGCAUCCUGACCGUGCCAUAUCCACUCUGUGCCGAAUCCUGGCCUUGCCGUAUCCCAUCCGUGCUGCAUCCUGACCGUGCCAUAUCCACUCUGUGCUGAAUCCUGGCCUUGCCGUAUCCCAUCCGUGCUGCAUCCUGACCGUGCCAUAUCCACUCUGUGCCGAAUCCUGGCCUUGCCGUAUCCCAGGCCUUGCCCUAUCCCAGCUUUGCCAUAUCCCAGCCGUGCAGUAAUUCAGGUUGUGCCACAUCCUGCCCGUGCUGUAUCCCAGUGCUCUGCACAUCCUCCUCAGCCUGUCCUGUGCCGUGGUGGUGUCACUGGAUGGCAGAUCCGUGUCUCAGCCCGUGAUUCCCACUGGCGAUGCUGCUGUGUGUCCAGCCUUCAUCCAUCCACUUGUUUCUGGCUCUUGGUGUCCUGGGGCAGUGCCAGGUGUUGCUGCACGGGUGCUGCUGCACAGGUGCUGCUGCACAGGUGAUCACACAGCCCCCCAGCCUGACCCCGACGGUCGCAGCCCCUUCCUCCUAAUCCCCCGAGCAGCGGGAGAGGGAGUUGUGCCAUGGAAAUAAACCCAUGAAAGCGCAGCACACGCAGGGCUGCGUUCAUUGUGUCCAUCCUCAGGUCUGGAGCCCUCGGCCAAUCUCCCAGCGAUGGGGCGGACUUGAGGCUCCUCGGCCGUGUGCUUUACACGUCCCAGCUCCACGCCAGCUUCGCUGCCCAGGUCUCCUUCCAGCCGGCGUUGCUCACACCGGAGCUGCUCCGGGAGCCGAGGCUGUUCCGUGGGGGCUGCGGGUGCAGGUUUGGGGUGGUCUGGGGGUGCAGGUCUGGGCUCCGUGGGUGCCGCCAGGGGUCCAUGGAUGCAAUCCGGGUUCUGUGGAGUCCGUGAGUGCCGGUGUGGGGUCCGUGAGUGCCGGUGUGGGGUCCGUGAGUGCCGGUGUGGGAUUCGUGAGUGCCGGUCAGGGGUCCAAAGGUGCCGGUCAGGGGUCUGUAGGUUCUGGUCAGGGAUCCCUAGGUGCCGGUUUGGGGUCCGUGGGUGCCGCUCAGAGGUCGGUGAGUGCCGGUCUGAGGUCUUUAGGUGCCGGUCAGGCCCCCCCCCCCCCCCCCCCCCCCCCCCCCCCCCCCCCCCCCCCCCCCCCCCCCCCCCCCCCCCCCCCCC